AGCUGGUCUGAGUGUUGUGGGUUAUUGCUAAGCUGACUUAACAUUGUCUCCCCACACAACCAUGCUUGAGUAGCAUAAA
ensembl:misc_RNA Y_RNA Y RNA